rnacentral:rRNA from 1 species
CCUACGGGGUGCUGCAGUGGGGAAUAUUGCGCAAUGGGCGAAAGCCUGACGCAGCGACGCCGCGUGAGGGAUGAAGGUCUUCGGAUCGUAAACCUCUGUCAGCAGGGACGAACGGUCACUGUGCUAAUCAGCAGUGAAUUGACGGUACCUGCAAAUGAAGCACCGGCUAACUCCGUGCCAGCAGCCGCGGUAAUACGGAGGGUGCGAGCGUUAAUCGGAAUUACUGGGCGUAAAGCGCUCGUAGGCGGUAUGUCAAGUCAAGGGUGAAAGCCCCGCGCUCAACGUGGGAACUGCCUUUGAAACUGGCAAACUGGAGUGUGUGAGAGGAUAGGGGAAUGCCAGGUGUAGGAGUGAAAUCCGUAGAUAUCUGGAGGAACAUCAGUGGCGAAGGCGACUAUCUGGCACAUAACUGACGCUGAGGAGCGAAAGCGUGGGUAGCAAACAGGAUUAGAUACCCGAGUAGUC